rnacentral:lncRNA from 1 species
CUGGGACUGAAGGGGAAGGGUGUGUGUGCAGUAGAAGUGUGUGUGUGUGUAGAGGGGGGAGGUGCGUGCAGGCUGAGUAUUAUGGUCUGUCCGUUGCGAGGUAACUAUGCAGAGUUGUGUGAGUGUUACAGAACGCCGAGGGAGGGGGGAUUAUUCUGGGAUGUCUGCCCCCUUUGUGUGUUUGUGAGGAUGUUAGCUAAGCUCUGCUAGCCACUGAGGCUGGGGGAGAGAAGGGGGACGGAGAGUGUGCAACGUGUUUUGCGGGGUCAUUAACGAAAUAUUUUACUGGAUAUUGUUGCUCAUUAAUUUAUAUUAAAGACUAAUACCAUUGCUGAGAGACAAAUAUUACACGAAGGAAACCCAUAUCUAACAGGGACUACAACGAUGAUUGACGGGUGUCCAUUGCUACAGCUUCCUGUGCGGUGUGGACAGAGGCAUGCCAGUUGAAAACAAAUGUUUUUCGAUCGACCUCCCCUCCCCAGGACACCCCCGUUCCAUUCUCCACCACCCACACGUCAUUUGCCCUCCUCCCUCACAAGAUCGGGUAGGGUUCGGUGGAGGGAUUAGCUCGCUUUUAAUUUAAAUUAAUUACUAUUGAAAUAUGUCGGGAAGCGAGGACGAGAGGGAAGACUUGGAACCUACCGGACUUGCACAUGGUAAGACAGCGUCAGCGAUCUAUUUUUUUCAGAACAAGCUUGCAGGUUGGUAACGUUAGUUAACGUUACGUUAGCUAGUUAGCUAGCUACUCAAGUCUGGUGCUAGUAGUGACAAUUUACAUUAGGCAGCCCAGUUCGAUAGCUAGCCGAAUGUUUUGCUUCUACACUAGCUGGCAAACUUGAUAGCACGCUAGCUAGCUACCAAUAGAGAGUGCG